ACGUGAUCUAAUCACUCAGGAUUAGCUGAGGAAUGGGAGGCAAGGGAAAAAGGGAUACGUUUCAGCUCUAGGUUCAGCUGUUACUGUGCUUGGAGAGCUGAACUGAUUCAGUCCUGUAGCCGUGCAGGAGUUCAAGCACUUCAUUCCUUCCCAGAUUCCCAUUUGGAAUUUCAGCUGGAAGGUGAGUUUUGCCCACAGAUUGGUCUCUGGACCCUUUUGAACACUGAAAUGUUCCCAUCAGAGCACACUUAGGAAGUCACCUUUUUUUUUGUUGGUUUUUUUUUUUUUUUUUCAGUAGAAGGUUUAUUUUGUAUUUGUUUCUCCCUGUGAGUCUGUGUUGCCACAAAUCAAAAUUCAGGCUUUUCUGCUGUCACUCUUCCUUGCUGCAAUCUGUACAGUGAGCUGUCUCCUGUGAUUUGUGAUGAGUCUUUCCCUAAGGGAGCAUUAUUCCUGCUUGGCUUUCACCCAGUGUAUCCCAUUGUUCAGCUCUGAGCAAUUGUUUUGGGAUAUUAUUGAUUUCAUGACUUGCAUUGUUGGCUGCACAAAACUGGGCCCAUUUGGGGUAAUUUGCUGCUUUCAUACUUUCUGAGGGAAGGGAAUGUAUGCCUUGACUAAGGCAGCAACAAACCCCUGCUAUUAUUUUCUGUGGCUCACAAAGGCCAUCCCUGGAGGCACUUCUGUGAUCAGGAAUUGCUACAACAUUACUCAGAGUCCUUUGUGUGGGGUUUACUUUGGGAUGUAAGUCCAGCUCAUGCACGCUGGUCAUCAGUGUUCUCCUGACUGGCUGGCCUGAUAAAAACAUGGAGAAAUUGCCAGGCAAUCCUAGCCAUAAUUCCAUAAAAUCUCUCAGUAGCAGGGGAAUCCCCCAGGAGAAAGGAGGUGUUAUAGCAAGGCCUUACAGGAGAAGGCAUGGGGUUAUAAUAUUCCUUACUAUUCAAAGCACUGUACAAAGAUUAAAUCAUCUCUGAAGCAAUUCCAAGAGAUGUGUUCUAGUCAAGUGAUUCCAGUGACUGAAAUGCUGCUGUGCACUCCAGCAGGCAGGGAAUACAAUGAGGGAGAAGAAAGGAAGAACACCAAGGACAAGCUGUGGCUGCAGGCUACGCAUCCAGAUGCUCCUGAUGGAUUAUACAGCCACUCUCCUGCAAGGGCAGGGAAGCACAGGGUUAAGACACGACAGGAACAGUGGGUUCUGUGGGUUGUUGUUUCUUCCUCUGUUGCAGGAGCAGUUUGUGAGGAGGACACCCAGCUCUGUGGCCAGAGUUCCAGCAGGGGCUCCCUGGACACGUGGGCCGUGGGAACAGGUGAGGAACCACUGGUGCUUGUAAGCAGCCAGGUCCUGCCCUGGGACCGCACAGCUCUGCUGGGAACAGCCCUCCCCUGGAUCCACAGGACUUCUCCAUCACGGCAGCAUCCCCUGUUCUCCCAGAGACAUGUGAAAGAUGGGGUGUGCCCACAGGAAGAUGCAUCCAGCUGUGGCUGCUCAGACUCGGGGCACAGCCCCACUGCCAUCCGCGGGGACUCCGUCGGGACGUGCAGCCAUCCACGGAGUUACACGAGCUCGAGCUUUGACAACAUGGAAUGCCUCCACUCGUGGCUCCUUCUCUCUCUGCUAAUCCUCCUCCCACUCAGCAAGAGCGGUAGCUGCACAGGCUCCCACAGAUGCCACGUUAUCGGCCUUACUCCAGAAAAUGUAGCGCAUCUCUGGAGAGCUGCUCCUGACUCCUGCCUGGGAGGCUGGGGAUGGGGUUCCCUGUAGUGUUCAACCUGUAUCCUCGAGUGAACAGCACAUUUGGGUUCUGCUUGAUUACUGUUUCCUAUCCUUUUGGCAGCAUGCAAAUGGCAACCAGCUUGCUCUCAGAGUUGCUGCAAAUUGCUGUCUGGCAGAGAAGCUCCGAGGAGCCUGACCAGGGUGGAUUGAGCUGUGCUGUCCCCAGCUCCCCUGUGCCAUGUGCUGCCAUCCCUCGAGUGUCAGCAGAAACGGCUGUGUUCAGAAUUAAUGAGCAGACAAGCAGAAUGUGUUUGUCUGGCAGAGAAAUGCUGAGCCUCAGGUAGCCUCAGGACUCGGUGUUUCUAACGGAUCUGUACAGCUCUCUUGAUGCUGAAGAUUUACCAUGUCAGAGGAGGAGGUUGCUCUUCUGAGGGUGGUUUGAGUCCAUGAGGUGUGUGAUCCCCUCCCCGGAGAGCCACUGGCAUUGACUGCUACCUGGAGGGUCUUCUGGCAAGAGGAGGUGUCACUCCCUGCGUCCUGCUGGCUCUCCCUCCCAGCACAGCAGAUGGAGAUGAAUAUGGAAGCGCCAGAACAGUCUCCACGUGACGUUCAGCCAGUCAGGACCGAAUUUCAUCUGUGAGGCCAAGAGGUUUAGAGGGUGCUAUAAAGAGGUGUAAUCUUACAGAAAUAAGUAUAAAGUCAGAUAAGGUUUUAAGGCAAGAGAAAACAUCACAGGUUGCAAUAAUCUGGUGUUGGCUGUUUUUGUUUGCCAGUGUAAACGUUUUAACUCCCUGCGUGCUCGAUUAAGGGAAAAUGUCCGUGAGUGUAAUUCACAGCCUGGCUGGAUUGAAAUGCUUCCUUUUCAGAGCCUAAAUUUGCUCUGUAAGCAUGAACCAUACAAAUUCCUCCUCUUCCAGGUAAGACUUGUGCAAAAAUGAUUUUGAAAAUACUUAAUCCCACACUUUUCCUUUGCUGUAUUUGGGGCCCAUUUGGAACCUGUGUCACCAGCAGACCUCCCAGACGUGCAUCAGGAGGUGACUCAGCCGUGAGCAUUACUGAGCCCACUGCAUGGACACUGGCUUUGUGUUACAGAUCUCUGGCAGGGGGUUAGGGUGGGUUGUCUGCACAAAAGUUUUUGUGUGAAUUAGAAGGAUCUGGGAUACCCUUUGUAGACUUGUUUCAUGCCUCAGUGUUUGACUCAUGACUCUAAUCUGGUAUCAUCUUCAUGGCUUUAUGUACCUCUCACCCGCCUACAGCUCAGAUUCAUUUCCCUCCUACUCACCCUUUUGCUCACUACACUCCUCCCAGUGCUCCUCUAACUAAUCCCUUCCUCUCAAUUCCCUCUGCUCUGUUUUGUUUGUUCCCUCUCCGUCUUCCCUCCUCGCUGCUGCUCAGCCUGUCCAGCCGGGGGAUGCUGGGCAAGGGUCCCAUGUGGGCUUUCCAGCCUUGCUGGGCCCCUUGACAGACGGACUGUGAGUGCUUCCAGGGCUAUUUUGGAAUAUGCAUUUUCUUAGCUCUCUUGUACUGUUAAUCCUAAGUAAUUAAUUAUUAGGCGGCUCUGAAUCUGUGUUUUGAAAAGAGACUCUCCUCCUCCUCCCAAAGCAUCCCCAGUCUGUGGGGAGAUGUUGGGCAGCUGGAGCUGACAAUGGACAAACAGGGGAGAGAACAGAGGGAAGGAAAUAUUCCAGCUCUGUUUUGCACAUCAACGGUAUUUCUGCCACCCCCUCCGCCUGCCAGGGAACUGUUUAUAAGGAGAAUUCCCUCACCUCCAGAUGACUGAUUCACUUGCCUGCUGCAGUCUCCCUGGUGGAAGCCCCGUGGAAACACCGACACGUUGUUUGACAUUCUGCAGCAUUACUGCAGCAGUAUCCAUUGCCACGGGAUUCCCGUGGGCUCAGCUCCUCGGGAAGCUCAGUCAAUCACCUGAGCUGGGACAGCUUGCUGUGCUUCAGUGCACAGAAGGGUGGAAAAGCCACACCAACCCAACUGGGACCACUGAACAGUGGCUGGAAGUUGUUAAGGAGCAGGGUGUUAUCCCUCUGCUCAGGAACACCUCUGGCAGUGUUGUCUGGGUUCACACCCCCAAAUGAAGGCACAGAAAUGGUAAGGCACGUGGCUGCUUUCGAGAAAGGGAGAUCAAACCCCUCUCUUUUGCACAGGGGAAAAGAUGGGGGACCUGAAAUGUCUUGCCAAACCCUCCUGAAGUAGUUUGCUUGUUAUUAAUUGUAUGUUUUUCACACUUUCCAGGGCCUAAAGGUCACUGCUGCUCCUCCUUCAGGCUCAAGCAGGUGGGACUGUGACUUUGAGCUGCCUUGAAUUCUAAGUGAAGCAAACACCCAAGAUCAUCUGAAUUUGAGGAUCCUGGCUGUGGAAUUGUGCCCUCAGCAAGCACAUUUCAGGCUCUUAUUCCCAAAGAGCCACCGGGAGGGGGAAGAAGAGGAUGGGGAGUUGCAAAGUCACUGCUUAGAGCCCCAAAUGCUGAAAUGGAUUGUUUGAAAGAAACAGAAACAUUCCUGAGAGUCCCUGCCAGGUUCCUGGUGCUUCCAGCUCGGGGUGUCAGCUGUCAGCACAGGAGGAUACAGGAGGCCAAGAACUGAGAUGUAUUCAUGGAACUGCCUGGAAGGACUCCUGAAAUCCUGGCUUUCCCUGGCACCCAGGGAUGGGAGCAGGUGGAGCUGCUUCUGUUCAGGUAACCAAGUAGGGGAGUGAAAGGCAUGGGGGAAAAGCUACAUCCAUGGUUGGGAAUGAUCUACUGAGCUUGGGACAAAGAGGAAUAAAACUGAGUUUAUCUUGACAUGGGACUUGUGGAAUGAGCCUUGUGCCAGGUGCUCCUCUGGACCAGACCAUCCGAGGAGAUGCCUUGGCAGGGAAAACAGGAGCAGUUUGACUGGGCCAGGGAAGCCCCUGCCCAGACCUGGUGGCACAAACUGCACCACGUGUCGUUUACAACCGGGAGGGACUCUGGGAGUACAAAGGCUGAUGAUGCCUCCCCAAGCUGGACUUUAACAGCUCUGAGGCACUGCUGUCUGGGCAGAGAUCACAUCCUUCCAGCCCCAGAAGGGUUCUGGAAAGGCUGGAGAAAUGCUUUCUGGCCCCUGGACUGCUGUGGAACCUCUCCAGAACAAGGGAUCUGCUCUUGCCCUUCUGCCCUGCCUCCCUGGAGCAGGAGCAGGUACAAGGUGCCUGAGCACACAGGGGUGGGCUGCUGAAGUCAGAGCCAGUGGCACCUGCCCAGAGUGUUCUGGACACCCUUGGGCUGGGCUGUGCUGACACACCUGGUCCGUGCCAGGGGCCCCACGUGGCUUUGGUGGCACACACAGUGCACUUAAAGGUAAAGGCAGGAGAGCAUGAAGGGGUCUGGGCAGCGCUGCCAUCGAACUCCUCCUUACGCUGUGCUUCAGCACCACGGUCCUGCCAGGAGAGACCGUAAAUGGGAGAUUAGUGCAGGGAGGGGCACGGCCGGGGGGCCGGGCCGGCUCGGGGGCAGAAAUCAAAGCAGUGCCUAAUUUAGAACUGAAGCAUGACUUGACUUCGCCCAGAAGUGCCCUCGCUCCAGGUGCCCAUAGCAUUGUUUCCCUAAAAACUGUGAUGGCGAGGGAUGAAACGCCAUAGCGAGGGACCACCUCCGGGGGACCACCUCCGAGUGCCCCGGAGCUCCAUGGGCAGCGGCGGCUUCGCUCCUGCCCAUCCCUGCCCCGCUGCCGUCGGCUCGCAGCGGGGCACAGCCCGGGACGCAUUUCGGGCACAGGACACAUCCCGGGGGACACUCGGGACACAUUUCAGGGCACACUCGGGACGCAUCCCGGGGCACAUGCCGGGACACAUCCCAGGACGCAUCCCGGGACGCAUCCCGGGGCAUGAUCGGGAUGCAGCCCGGGGUACACUAGGGACACAUCCUGGGGCACGCUCGGGACACAUUUCGGGGUACACUCAGGACACAUCCCGAGGCACACUCAGGACGCAUUCCGGGACGCAUCCCGGGGCGCAUCCCGGGACGCAUCCCGGUCCCGCAUCCCGGGGCACACUCAGGACGCAUCCCGGGGCGCAUCCCGGUCCCG